CCUUGCACAUAUUGUUUGUUGAGCGUGGUUUCGAUUACCAAGCCUUACAGAAGUCGAUGCCGCAAGUAAUUUUUAAUGUACAAUCGACCAAGUUCCUGCUAGUACACUUCCAAACAUAUUUUGCUUGACCGGUCUAAUGUCCCGAGAUAUUAGACACGCCCCUGUCUCAUAUUUCACCAAUUACAACAGUUUUGGAGAUGUGCGAAAGGAAUAGCAGAUAACUCUUAUUGUUUACUAUAGUACCAUUUUGUUCACAAUUAUUUUUUCGUUUACGGACACCGAUAUCUUGCCACUACGUAGACUUAUGUUCGUUUACUGAACUCUUGAUUACUUAGUCGCCGACCUGUCCUGUGACUACUGCGCCAUGGAUUAUAUAUUCCGUGAAUUAAAUCUAACGAGAACCACUGUCUCUCGAUGGAUACACUAGGAUGCGGAUGAGAGCUCCAUCGCUGACCGAUCCAGUGCGCACACUCUACUCAGCCUGCCUGCUGAGCGUGUCAAACUUGUAAUGAAUAAAAAUAAAUCAUAUCACUGAAGUAACAAAAAA